GCUACAUUGUAAGGGGCAUGUACGCUGGUCACUGCAUUGAAAGGGGGCAUGUACGCUGGUCACUGUUUUGAAGGGGAGUGAAGAACACACACACAAAAAAAGGUAACUUGUUAAUUUAACGUUUAUUUCUAUGAGGAGGAGUAAUUCUGAGGGGUCGAACAAAGAAAUAAUAAAAAAAGUGACAAAAAAGUUAUUUUUAUAAUGACGAGUUUUGCGGCUCCCAGUUUUUUUUCCCUUCGGAAACGGGUCCAAGUGGCUCUUUUUGUCUUAAAGGUUGCAGACCCCUGAACUAUACGGACCUUUGUUGGCAAGGUGAUGUCUCUUUGUUGGCAAGGCUUUCAAUAGCUACUGGCUAUACUGCCUAUGUUCUGCCUCCAUAGUUUGGAACAGUUAUGCUUCUGAAUACCUGUUGCUGGAAGCCACAUGAUGGGAGGGUGCCACUGUGCUUGGGUCUUGCUUGCGGGGUUCCCACAAGCAUCUGUUAAGUAUAGUAAUUUAAUUCACCGAUUGCAAGUGCUUGUAUGCACUACUAUGUGUUUACAUUUGAUUGGUUGGUAACCGAAUUCUAGAGAGUUCUCUGGUAGCUCUCAUGUGAUUGGCUAAGGUUGGUCACAUGGGAGGUAUCUAGUGAAGGAGAGACUCCAUUUUGUGUGAAGCGAGAGGACUGUUCUUUAGAAUCCACUGUGAACACUGCUAAGUUGAACAGAGUGUUGGAACGCUUCUUCUCUGCCUGAGAGGAUCUGGAGAGCAAAGCUGCAGGAGAAAGUAAAAGUGCAAAUCUCUCAUAGGAGCUGCAAGGCAUGGCCUAAUCAAGAUACAGAAAGCUGAGUGCUUAGUCCUGGAAAGACAGUAAAAUACAAUUAUUUGGAAGUUAGAAGACACUGUGUGUCCAUGCUUGGAUGAGCAUGUGACUGUAAAUAUCAUGUUGCAAUUCAUCUGUAGCUAUAAGUUUGUGCAAGUAAAGUUUUUGAAUAUGGACAUUGGUUUCAUAUCCAAAUAAGGGUGACAGUCUCUUAUGUAUAUAUGUAUAUGUAAGGGACACGGGUGGCGCUGUGGGUUAAACCACAGAGCCUUGGACUUGCUGCUCAGAAGGUCGGUGGUUCGAAUCCCCGUGAUGGGGUGAGCUCCUGUUGCUCGGUCCCUGCUCCUGCCAACCUAGCAGUUCAAAAGCACGUCAAAGUGCAAGUAGAUAAAUAGGUACCACUCUGGCGGGAAGGUAAACGGCGUUUCCGUGCACUGCUCUGGUUCGCCAGAAGCGGCUUAGUCCUGCUGGCCACAUGACCCGGAAGCUGUAUGCCUGCUCCCUUGGCCAAUAAAGCGAGAUGAGCACUGCAACGCCAGAGUCGGCCACGACUGGACCUAAUGGUCAGGGGUCCCUUUACCUUUACCUGUAUAUGUAUAUGUACAGUGGACGCUUGGGUUGCGAACGUGAGCCAUGUGGGAUGCACAUUCGCAACCCGCAGUGUCCGCAACCCACAGCGGCAUGUCUGCGCACACACGGGUUGCGAUUUAGCGCUUCUGUGCAUGCGCAAUUGCCAAACCCUGGAAGUAACCCAUUCCGGUACUUCCAGGUUUCAGCGGCCCGCAACCCAAAAAAACGCAACCUGAAGCGUCUGUAACCCGAGGUAUAACUGUAUAUGUAUGAUUUGAGCUUCUUGGCUGCAAUUUUGCUACUCUUACUUCAACACUUCGGCCUCAUCCCAAAGGUGGUUCUUUUGUUUGUUCACAUGCUACACUUAAAGCAACUGUGGGGAACCUACAGCCCUUCAGAGACGCUGUUGAACCACAACUCUCAUCAGCUGCAGCAAGAAUGGCCAAUGGCCGAGGAUGGUGGGAGUUAUAGCUGAGCAAUGCGUUCCCCACACCUGCUUUAUCAACAGAAGUUUCCAGAUUCGAUCCCUGGAAGGUGCGGC
rnacentral:lncRNA from 1 species